AGUGAACGCUGGCGGUAGGCCUAACACAUGCAAGUCGAACGGCAGCACAGGAGAGCUUGCUCUCUGGGUGGCGAGUGGCGGACGGGUGAGGAAUACAUCGGAAUCUACCUUUUCGUGGGGGAUAACGUAGGGAAACUUACGCUAAUACCGCAUACGACCUACGGGUGAAAGUGGGGGACCGCAAGGCCUCACGCCAUUAGAUGAGCCGGUGUACGAUUAGCUAGUUGGCGGGGUAAUGGCCCACCAAGGCGACGAUCGGUAGCUGGUAUGAGAGGAUGAUCAGCCACACUGGAACUGAGACACGGUCCAGACGCCUACGGGAGGCAGCAGUGGGGAAUAUUGGACAAUGGGAGCAAGCCUGAUCCAGCCAUACCGCGUGGGUGAAGAAGGCCUUCGGGUUGUAAAGCCCUUUUGUUGGGAAAGAAAUCCUGUCGAUUAAUACUCGGUGGGGAUGACGGUACCCAAAGAAUAAGCACCGGCUAACUUCGUGCCAGCCGCCGCAGUAACAC
rnacentral:rRNA from 1 species